GUCUACAUCAGUUACUCGCAGCAGUGGUUAAUAUCAUCUGUAAUGGUUUGCAGCGUUGAUAACUGGAAGAGGCCAUCAUAACCAGAAGUGAAUGCUGAGCAAUAGACCAUGGUGAAAGUCUGGAGUGUGGAAUCGAGAGUGAAUCGACGUCUGAGGCAGGAGGACAAAGUGACGGCCAGCGUUUAAAGCUCUGGGCAGCUUCCCUUCUUGGCAAAUGACAGGUAAAACACCUCCAAACCAAAAAUCCAGCAAGGUGAUGUCAGUGAACUAAACACAGCACGCUCAUGUUUGUCAGCUUGGCUCCUCUGUGAUUUAGAGUCAAAGAAACAGAUCAUGACAGCACUACUGAAGGCAGCUUUCUGUGGUUCCCAACCCCUGAAAACAAAGUAGUGUCUACUUAUGAUCCUGCAUAGCCCGGUCUCCCUAAUGAGUACUUAUACUUUUGGUACUUUAAGUAUAUUUAGAUUACUUUUACUAAAGUAAAACUUCACUGAUUGACACUCUAUGGUGUUGCUGCUUUUACUUAAGUAAAGGAUCCAAGUACUUCCUCCACUAUCGAUCAAAGCUGCCUUAAAAGAUGUAGUAUGAAACUUUUCUGCGCUAAAAUGUCUAAAUAAGGCUUGACUUCCAUUUCAUAUUUUGACGAGUUGUGUUCCUACUCUAUCACAAAUGUUUCCAGCAAUUUGCUAACUUUGAGAAAUCCAUAACUUUAAUCAAGGUAAUGGUCCAUUUCAUACCUACUCAGUGUUGUGGUUGCCAAAAGCGUAACCACUGACAUUUUACCCAGUUUUAAGCCACAUUUUUAUGAUACAGUUCUUUGAUCUUUGUAGUUUUUAACUAUAUAUUUUAACUGGAUGAAGGAUCGUAGUCAUUAGACAUCUUGAUCUUACGUUAUCAGAGAAACAAUAAGAGCAAAUGUUAGCAGAAGCUCGACUCGCCUUUGGGACGAUUUUUAACAUGAGACUGCUUUAUUCUGUGUUUUUACCAGUUGUAAUCACUUGGUUGGUUUGUUUUGGAGAGGAGACCUCUGAGGUUAAUUCAGCUCC